CCUACGGGAGGCAGCAGUGAGGAAUAUUGGUCAAUGGGCGGGAGCCUGAACCAGCCAAGUCGCGUGAGGGAAGACGGUCCUAUGGAUUGUAAACCUCUUUAGGCGGGGAGCAAUGCCGGGCACGCGUGCCCGGAGGGAGAGUACCCGCAGAAUAAGCAUCGGCUAACUCCGUGCCAGCAGCCGCGGUAAUACGGAGGAUGCGAGCGUUAUCCGUAUUUAGUGGGUUUAAAGGGUGCGUAGGCGGAUUUUUAAGUCAGCGGUAAAAUGUCCGGGCUCAACCCGGGCCGGCCGUUGAAACUGGGGAUCUUGAGUGGGCGAGAAGUAUGCGGAAUGCGUGGUGUAGCGGUGAAAUGCAUAGAUAUCACGCAGAACUCCGAUUGCGAAGGCAGCAUACCGGCGCCCGACUGACGCUGAGGCACGAAAGCGUGGGGAUCGAACAGGAUUAGAUACCCCAGUAGUC
rnacentral:rRNA from 1 species